AAUGUUCAUAUAUAUAUAUAUAUAUACAUAUAAUUGUUUACUGGUAUUGUGGGCUCAGCAGUGAAAACCGUGUUCCCCCAGCUGUAAUCUUCUCUGUUAAAAAGGCUCUGGGAUCACGGAAAACACUGCGCGAGUACUGACUAUUCUUCAAGCGUAUCAUCUUUUUGUCUUUCCUAAUCGUGAACAGCUUAACAUAUAUAAAUUAUUUUUCCGUUCAUUUAAAGCGUAAAGUGCAGUUCGACCAACAAAUUUAAUUCUCGAAAUAAAGGUAAAUGGACUAAUACAUGCAAUUGAGAAGUUUGGAAAGUAACCACUCGUUGGGAAGAAUGGGCAGGUAGGAGACGAUGAUGGAAUGAGAUAUACUGUGUGCGCACAUACAUACAAGGAGGAAAGGGAAGUGGGACUGGCUUGCCUUGUGCCACUUUAUACGUACGUACCGCUAUCGAGAUGUAGACUCGAUACUUUGUACCGGUCUUGUAAUAUUACCAGAUUUGUUCUUUCUUUCUAUGUCACCGACAUUGGCUUCACUUGUUACCACACUGUUGUACAAUUAUAAUGAGUUAUAUAUCUUUACAUCGUUCCGAUCAAAUUUCCUUUUCUAUUUUUUAUAUAAAAUUUAAAUGAAUUUGUUUUCAUUCGAUUAAUAUAUAAUUUUCCAUUUUUUAUAAAAAAAAAAAUUCAAAUAGCCUUUCUCUUAUUACUACCAUUUUGGUAUUUGGACUUUAAGUAUGAUUCCGACAUGACAGUAGAAUAAGGUAAUUCCAUUGGUCGAUUCUGAAGAAUCGUAAAAGGAAUUGGGAAGUGGCUUGGAAAGGAAAGAAAUGUAAAGCCAUAAAUAUUUUAAAAUUUGUGAAAAGAGACAAGCGACGGGUGGUCAACAACCGCCAUUUUAUGGACGCCACCGCAUUGCGGCCAUCUUUUGUAUAGUAACCGAAGCGUUUCUAUUUCCAUUUGGGGUUGCUCGAUUGGCUCGGAUUCCAUUCACGCGCUGUCUAAUUUUACUCGUUGGCCUCGAAUCUACCACGCCAUGGCUCAUUGCGUACUAUCUGAAUCCAAGAAAAGACAUUUUCAAUUAAUGUUUUCUAAAUAAUCGAAGUCUUUUAAAUCUAUUAGUAUUUCCACACAUUUUUAUAAUUUCAAUUUCAUUUAAUCUAUUCUCUGAAUUUACAUUGCGUAGCAUUAUGCUUAAAAUAUUAGAUUCGUGUAUGUAUAUAACAACAUAUAACAAUUCUAUGGAGAUAUUGAUGUGUGUAUGUAUGAAUGUGUAAUUAUAUAAUAUAAAGAAAUUUUUAUAAAUUAUAGAAUUUAUAGUAAAAUGAGAGAUAAGAUUUUUUGUGCAUAUAAUUUAAGUCUAUAAAUGUCAAGUUUUUGCGAAAAUAAAUUUAAAAAUAAAUAUAUAUUCCAAGACUGCUUGCUUAUUUAAAGCCAUGCAAUUUUAGUUCAUUUGCAAAUACCAUUUUUAUUUUUUAAACAAUCUAGGACGAAAGCGUGAAAAAUUUAUUAUUAAAACGGACAUUUACACCUUCGCCUCGGUAAUCUUAUUAGUCGUUUCGAAAAAGGAUUAAACUCUUUUACACGAAUAAUCUAAAACAAGCGUAACGCUAGUAACGCUUAAUUCGUUUUCUUCAGGUUAAUCGAUUUAAUCCGCGAAAUACGAGUUCUGUUCUCGCUACAUCAUUCCAAUACUAAAUGACGCGACGAAAAUUUUUACCAUUAACCAUAUGUUUUAAACUAUUCUUAAACUUAUUAUUUUUAAAAAGCAUUUAUUUUGUCAUUGCAUAUUAUUAACAAUAAUAAAUUCAUAAGAAACUUACUACUUUUAAUUAACAAACUUCAUUAUAUAUAUUUUCUACUAUCAUUUUAAAAAAAUUCUCAAUGUCUACGCCAAUGUUGUGGAUGACAUCAUUGCGAAACGGUUGAACAGCGGGGGAACGAGUAUCCGUAAAGAUCGCGGAUCAUCACCAAGAGUGGGGUAGGGACAGGAGCGACAGUGGGAAGGAGAAUCGAGGAUGAAAAGGAAGAGAUGUGUGGUAGCGAUGGCCUUAAGAUACAUCAAGUUUCUUAAACUUAUAUAAACGUUAUAGAUUAAUUACACGUUAUAUAUUAAUAUCUCAAAUAAUAUUAAUGUAAAAGUGCAAUUAGUAGAAGUCGUGUGUAUAUAAGAGACGAAAUUAUGUAACGUAUUUCAUCUUGUUAAUAUAUUUCUUCACUUUUCUUUCAUGUUACGCGGAAAAAAUUGUCAAUAGCUAUAUAUCUGGAUCUUCGAUCUUCGCGUAAAUUGUAAAUUCAAAAUUUUAAGAGGCAGAAAGAAUUGAAUGGCUAUCGCUAGACAACGCAAAAGUCCAAGGCGGUUGAAGAAUAAGUUGGAGAGACAAAGAGCGGAAGAAUAGAGAUGAAGAAAGAAGAAGUGAGGUUCUCCACGUAAAGAACUUAUGGGGAGGGGAGAGGAGAAUGAAAUGAUGCGAUAUAAGUAUGAGAAUCCAGUGGUGGGGUAGACACCAGGCAACCAGGCCUUGAA